GACGAACGCUGGCGGCGUGCUUAACACAUGCAAGUCGAACGGAAAGGCCCUGCUUUUGUGGGGUGCUCGAGUGGCGAACGGGUGAGUAACACGUGAGUAACCUGCCCUUGACUUUGGGAUAACUUCAGGAAACUGGGGCUAAUACCGGAUAGGAGCUCCUGCUGCAUGGUGGGGGUUGGAAAGUUUCGGCGGUUGGGGAUGGACUCGCGGCUUAUCAGCUUGUUGGUGGGUAGUGGCUUACCAAGGCUUUGACGGGUAGCCGGCCUGAGAGGGUGACCGGCCACAUUGGGACUGGGAUACGGCCCAGACUCCUACGGGAGGCAGCAGUGGGGAAUAUUGCACAAUGGGCGGAAGCCUGAUGCAGCAACGCCGCGUGCGGGAUGACGGCCUUCGGGUUGUAAACCGCUUUCGCCUGUGACGAAGCGUGAGUGACGGUAAUGGGUAAAGAAGCACCGGCUAACUACGUG
rnacentral:rRNA from 1 species